rnacentral:rRNA from 1 species
GGCGCGGCCGUCCGGCGGGGCUCUYUBAUUAGGGCYGUUUGUCCGGUUUUYCGGCCGCUCCAUUCUCGGGUAGCGUGUCGCUGGCAUUAGGUUGUCGGCUUCUUCGCGCCCGUCGUUUACUGUGAAAAAAUU